UGCCUAAAGAAACAAAUUCUAGGUAAUUCCUGCCCAGUGAAGAAAUUUAAACGGCUGCGGGAAACUGUACAAAGGUAGCGUAAUCAAAUGCCCUCUAAUUAGGGGCCAGUAUCAACGGAUAAACAAGCGCCUAACUGKCUCAUUUAUAAAAAUAAAAAUUAGUCUGUAAGUGAAAAAACUUACAUUACACGGCUGGACAAGAAGACCCUAUAGAACUUCGCCAAAACCUUUAACCAAUAUAUAUUUACUAAAUUGUUAAAUAGUUAAAACUUUAGGCUCAGUUGGGGAAACUGAGGAACAUAAAAAGCUUCCUCCAAAAAAAAGAUAUUUAUAUCAUCUAUUAUUGAUCCAACCACCAUGAUCAAGAGACUAAGUUACCUUAGGGAUAACAGCGUAAUUCUUUUUUGGAGCCCAUAUCUGUAAAAGAGUUUGCGACCUCGAUGUUGCCUUAGGAUGCCCCAAAGGCGCAGAAGCUUUUAAAGGUUGGUCUGUUAGCCCACUAAUAUCCCU
rnacentral:rRNA from 1 species